UUUCUUGAUAAUGACCAUGCAAAACACCAUGUAAACCUGCAUCGGUAUUAUUUAGGUGGUCUCAUGUGGCAACUUUUUGUAAUUCCUACUCAACUGAACUGGGAGUAAAUUCCUCUGGACGGUGAAAACAUUUGCAAUUGGUGGUUCUGCAAAUUUAAAAGAAAAAUUCUCAAAGCAUAAGCUCCAUUCUUGGUUUAUUAGAAAAAAAAGAAACUAUUGAUCGGCUGCUUGGCAGCAUUCAGUAGUUUGGGAGAGAAACAACCUUAGAUAUCUGGGUGCACAGUUCCUCAUGGGUUACAUUUCUUGUCCAUUAUACUAGAAGCAGCCUACUUUGCUUUUCUUGCUUUCCUUUUGGUCCAUUUUUGAUGCAGUAGCAUUGGAUUAAUGGAUUUUCUGGACCUUAGUUCAAUGGUAUGGUUGCUCCAUUGUGACCAAGUGGUCAUGGGUUCGAGUCAGGAAAUAGCCUCUUGCGAAGCGGGGGUAAGGCUGUGUACAUUAUGAACCUCCCUAGACCCCGUAGUGGCGGGAGUCUCAUGCACUGGGUACACCCUUUUUUAGCAUUGGAUUAGUCGGACAAGUAUAAUAGACUUUAGAAGCCAAAGCCCAAAAUAUACAGCCCAUCAUCCAAGUCCAAGGCUUCUUAGUGGUAUUUAUGUACUUAUCUUUUAAAUAUAUUAAUACUGGAUGUUAGAGUUGUGGGGAUCAUUGAUGUUGACGCACAUGCUGGCCUCCAUUACUGAAGGAGGAAGGCCUGCCAGACCAGCCAGCCGUUGGCUGAUCUGGUCCAGCUGGUCCUCACAAUUUUGUGCCUAUGCUGCAUGCUGGCCACAUCAGCAGCCAUCGAUCUAGCAUAGGAUGCCCUUGGAUUUGCAUAUUUUAUUUCUUGUUUUGGACUUCUAGAAGCCCCCACAGGCUGCCAUUGAUUCAGCCUUCUAGAAGCUGCCUUUUUGCUGCCUGUGAUUCUCCUCUACAGCUGUAUUUCUGUAUUUUAUAUUUGAUUGGUCAAACCUUGGUUGGACAAGUCAAGUUAGCUUCUAGAAAGUCCCUUUUAUUUCUCUCUUUAUGCUUUCUUAGUCUCAAUUUAUUUGUUGGUAGCCUAAAGCUGUUAGUGUUUUUUUUUUUGGGAACUACUAUUUUGUAAGCCAUCUAUUCUCUAUAAAAGAGAGGUUGCUGUACCAAUUUACGGGGAAUGAAGACUUGAAUAUUUGGAGCUACAAGUAGGAUGGAUCAAUAGUAGAGAUAGCUAUGGGUGAGAUUUGUGAGCAAUUAGAGCAUCGAAUUGAAGUUCCAGCAGCCUCACAAUUGAAGAUCGAAGAACAGUCAAAACCCCAAAUCGAUUUCAGGUUUGUCAGGGUUUUGGGCCAAAUCGACAAGUGCUGUUUCUCCCUAACCGGUAGCCAUCUUUGAAUACCCUUUGAAGCGUUUGAAGACUAUCCAAGGAGGCCACUCGACCAGGGUUUCAGCCCCUGCUGACCAGCCAAAGUCCAGCCACAGGUCUUCUCCCAUAUUCUGGCUGAACCCUGUGUCAGCCAGGAUUCGUCUCGAGUUGCUGCUGUGUUGUUGCUGAUCUGUUGGAAGGUGUUCUGAGGAUUAUUCCAGCCUACUUUUGAGCCUAACCUGACCAGUUCUCCACGCAAGCAGUUUCAGUUCUACAGGCGUCGUCCUAUGUCAACUUCAACAACCCAGGUAUUAAGAAGCCUUGUUGCAUCCUGGUUGGAAGCGCUUUAUGGAUGUUGAGAUGGAUGCUCUGUUGGAUUGUCGACCUUGGACUCUUACUGACGUUACCCUCAGGGAAGGAGCUUCUGAGGCAUUGUUGGGUGCAAACAAUUAAGUAUCUUCAAGAUCGUCAGUUGAGCGGUUGAAAGCUUGCUAGGUUGCCAAAGGAUUUAUUUAGACACAUGUUAUUGAUUGUUUUGAGACCUCUCCCAUGGCGCUUCUUAAUUUUGUUUGCGUUCUAUCUCCUUGGCUAUUAAUCUUGAUCGGCUUGUGUUUCAGCUAGAUAUAAAAAAGUCUUCUCUUUAUGGUGAUCUUGAGGAAGAGAUAUAUAAAGCAACGUCCGGGUAUGCCACUCAGGGGGAGAAUGUGUCUUAACAUAUGCCAUCUUCACAAGACUAUAUGUGGGCUAAAACAGUCUCUUCGUGCCUCAUUCUAUAAGUUUGUUUAAGUUAUUGGUGGUUAUGGGUUCACUUAGUGCUUCUUUGAUCAAUUUGUGGCCAUUGGACAUUGGGGGGGGGGGUGCGGUGGGGGUUGGAGAACAAGGUUGUCAUCCUAGUUGUGUAUGUUGAUGAUAUUAAAAUUUUUGGUAUUGAUUCUUCCAGCAUUGAAGAUGUCAAGGCGUAUCUGCAUUGGCAUUUUCAGAUGAAGGACUGAGGGAUGCUCGGGUAUUUUUUGAUGAUUGAAGUUGUUUGUUGCAAGAAGGGUGUCAGUUUAUGUCAAACGAAAAAUGUCAUAGAUUUUCUAUUUGAGACUGUUAUGUUGGGCUGUAUGUCUAUUGCUUAUUGAUACCCUAUGGAUCCAAAUCUAAAACUUGGAUGUGUGAUGACAAAGAACUUCUGGAUAAACAUCAAUACAGAUUAUUGGUUGAGAAACUUAUUUGUUCAACUGUUACACAUCUUGAUAUCUCCUUUGCCGUUGGAGUUAUUAGUCAUUUUAUGGAAGGUUCUUAGCAUGCUCACUGGAAUGUUGCUUGUCGCAUUAUGAGAUAUUUAAAAGGUGUUCGUGGGAAAAUUUCUUAUUUAUUGUCAUCAUGGUCACAUGUUUGAGAUUUAAAAGUAACUGCAAACGUACGGAUAAAUGUAGCUAUGGGUCGAACACAAGGAGAGCAACCACUUUAUUUUUGGC